GCCAAUGAUGAAGACAACAUUGAGACUUUCCGAAAUGCAAAUUGUUGCAUUUAAAUGUUGAAACCUUUGAACUAGGACGGUCUGAGGC
rfam:Lupinus angustifolius cultivar Tanjil contig_20580, whole genome shotgun sequence.